rnacentral:rRNA from 1 species
CCUACGGGAGGCAGCAGUGAGGAAUAUUGGUCAAUGGGCGGAAGCCUGAACCAGCCAAGUAGCGUGCAGGAUGACGGCCCUACGGGUUGUAAACUGCUUUUAUACGGGAAUAACGCGCCUUACGUGUAGGCCUUUGCAUGUACCUUAUGAAUAAGGACCGGCUAAUUCCGUGCCAGCAGCCGCGGUAAUACGGAAGGUCCGGGCGUUAUCCGGAUUUAUUGGGUUUAAAGGGAGCGUAGGCCGCAUGUCAAGCGUGCUGUGAAAUGUCCGGGCUCAACCCGGGCCUUGCAGCGCGAACUGGCGUGCUUGAGUCCGCGGAAAGCAGGCGGAAUUCGUCGUGUAGCGGUGAAAUGCUUAGAUAUGGCGAAGAACCCCGAUUGCGAAGGCAGCUUGCUGCAGCGGAACUGACGCUGAUGCUCGAAAGCGCGGGUAUCGAACAGGAUUAGAUACCCUUGUAGUC